rnacentral:lncRNA from 1 species
UCACGCGGUUGGGAAGAGAUGCGCGGUAGCCACCGUCAAACGGUAUUUCCACCAUGCGGACACAAUAGAUGUAAACCACCCAGCGAACAAAGAUAACAGUAAAAGGUAGCAAAUAAUUAGGAAGUGAUCAGUUGUAAGUAAUUCUUGCCUUUGUUUUUAAUAUAAUUUAUUAAAUUGUAAAUUUAAAUAUUUUAAUUUUUUUUUUUUUUUUUGAGACAGCGUCUCAAUCUGUCACCCAGGCUGCAGUGCAGUGGCAUGGUCACAGCUCACUGCAAUCUUGAACUGCUGGACUCAAGGGAUUCUCCCACCUCGCCCUUACCAGUAGCUGGGACUACAGGAUGACGUAGCACAAACGCCCUUGAUACAUGGGGGCCCCUCGACCUCAGACUUCCCAGCCUCCAGAAUGGCCAUGGCUUUGAAUGUGGCGUGUGGGAUCUCUGGCGGGUCAUCGUCACAGAGCUCUGCAAAGCAAAAGAAGCCUAUUAGGAACUCAAGAGGCCCCAGAUCCAGAUGUUCACGGCACCAAGCAAGAUACGUAU